GGAAGGUAAGAAAUCCAGGGCUGGACCAGUCUUCCACUUGGUCAGCAUGCCAUUUUUCUGGGCUGUCAUCCCCAACCACAGAUUCAUUCAUUCAUUCAUUCAUUCAUUCAUUCAUUCAUUCAUUCAUUCCUGUAUGCCUGUCAGGUGCUGGGGUUACAAAGGCAAAGCUCGAAGUUGAAUAACAGAUGAUACCUUGAAGAGGUGACAUCUGUGAAGUGUGGCAGGUGCAUAGGAGCAUACCUUGCUGGGAGAAGGCUGGGGUGGUCAGGAGGUGAGGCCUGGGCUGCUGCUCACAGAGGUAUGACAGGCACGAGGUAUCCCUGGUACGAGGUAUCCCUGGUACGAGGUAUCAGCAGGCACAUGCAAGAGGGUGCUGAGAGAUGGAGCUGGACAGGCCAGGAGAGGUGUGGCUCUGCUAGCUGGGUGGGGUGGUUUGGAUUUCUUCCAGAAGACAACAGAGAGAUUAUGCAGGAAUUUAAGCAGCAGUGUGGAGGGAUCAGCUCCACGGUUUAGAAAGAUUAUCUGGGCAGUAGAGAGAAUGGUCUGGAAAGGGUAGGUCCGGGAGGAGACAGCAGUAACUCAGGCUAUGCAUGUAGAGAAGAAGUAGGGAUAGGGAGAGGCGAACAAGUUCUAGAAGUUUCUGGAAGGCCUCAGCCCCCAGUCAUGCCUACAGACUGAGCCCAGCCUAGCUCAUCUCAGAUACAGCGUCUAAUUCAAGUCCUAUGCGGGGCCCAGGCCUCUACUUUGACGUGUGCUCAGUGCAGCCCUUGACCCCAGCAGUCCAGCUGGGGACUGUGCACCCGUCCAGAGAAUCCCAACCCCAAUCUGCCGCCCUCAUCCCAGCGGGAUGCUCAGCCUACGGACCUUGGCCUUUCUCUGGGGGACGAGUGAGCUGCGCUGCCCGCUCCCCGCAGCAGGUGGCGCCGUCUUGCUGGGAUUGGACUCUGCCUUCACCGGCCCGGCUGGGAAGCGCUUGGUGGAGCGGGACGCAACGGGGACGUCCGGGGGGCACCCGUCCUGUGCACGCCGCCGGGGCUCUCACGGGGCCUCCCUGCUCCAAUCACUCCCGCCCCUUCCUCCCUUCCGGUCCUCCCCGGCCCUCCAUUCCUGCUUUCCGCUGGGAUCCCAGAGAGGGUCUGGCCCAGUGUCACCAGUUCCUGGCUUGGUAGCAGCUGCUGCAGUUCCCUGAUGGAGAUGGGGCUGUUUGUCAUUCUGGGGUGACUGAGGAGCCAGUAACCCUCCACCAAGAUGGCAGCUCAGCCAGACACGAGGGCUUUUGUCUGCUCCUGACCCUGCUGGGAGGCCUGGCCAUGGCCCGAGUUUGCUCAAUGUUAAUUAUUGACCAGGUACCCAGGGACAGGGCCCCUCUGUCCAGCUGGAUGAAGGGCAUGUGGGGCUGGGGCCUGGGCCUCCCAGGGCAUCAGGUGGGGCUCACCUGGGGCCAGGGGAGUGCUGGCCUUGGGUAAGAAUCGAGGAGCCCCAAACGCCUUCCCCACUGUUCCCCAAGCCCAGGAUUAAAUGUGGUUGAAAGUGCCCAGCCCAGGGUGGCUGGAGAUUCUGAGUGGAGAACAUCCUCACUCUCACCCUCACCCUCAGAAGGACAGAGAGGAGCGGGAGAAACACCUUCACACCGAAAAGGGAGGAGAUGGAGGACAGAGAGAAGACCCCAGAAUAAAGGUGUGAGGGUCCCUGAGCUGUGUGUAGCU
rnacentral:lncRNA from 13 species